CUAACUCCCUCGUGAGCUGGAGGGCGUCAGCAGCUGCAAGCCUGGCAUCCAGGUAAGACAAUGCGGAGAGGGAGAGGCUUUUCCCGCACGUCCCUAUUUCCAGCAGAGGAAUUUGUUCCCAAAAGACUUGCCCUCUUAUCUCACGGGCCAGGACUGGUUCACAUGCCCCUUCCUAAGCUACCCCCACUGGCAAGGAGGAUGGGGUUGCCGUGCUCACAUGGGCUCUCCGUUCAGGAAUAGUCCCGCUCUCGCUCGGGGAAGGAUAGAGACCAGACAGUCUCUGCCAGGGCUCUGGAGCACUCAACAGUACAGGAGUUCUCAAUAUGAAGGUUGCUGGUGACUCUUUACAGUGGCAAAAGCCUUGGAGUUUUCCACCUAGGGGAGGGUUUCCUUUCUGCUGUAGCCAUCUCAAAUAGUUUUCCAUCUUCUGUUUAAAUUUUCAGUGAUGGGGCUCGAUUAUUUUGAGGACCUUUGAUUUCUCCUCCUCCUCAUUGACCCUUCCCGGCACCCAUAGCAGGCAGUGGAAGGAGGAGACGCCAGCAUCUGGAGUAGGAAGCCUCGUAAAGAGGGUCCCCUGCGCACCUGCGGCGGGGCUCACCCCAGGCUCGUGCCAGGAGUUGCUGGGCGUGAGCACACUCGCUGUGAGUCGGCUGUGCCCGCCCUCCUCUGUCUCCUUGUCCAGCUCCUGUGACCCAAACCAUUGCAUGUGCUGGCCUCCCUUCCACCCUGCUUCCCCUGAUGUUUUUCCACCUCUCCCCUAGUAACUAUCACACCAACAUUUCACCUUAACGUUAUUGAAAAUGUGCCACUUUAAAAGAUUAGGCUCACCUUGCUUGUCAGUCCUGCCGGCAAAUACCCCACCCUCCACAACCGCCAAAGGCCACUGUCCUCAGCUCUUUUAAAUGAAUGGAAAAACUUUAAGGUCUUUCAAGACCAGAUUUAGGAGCCACUAAAAAUAUGACCCAUUUACUCUGAACUCUGGGCGAAUCAAUUGACCCUCCGUAGGUCCUAUGUCUACAGAGAUUUACGCCCCGACCUUCCACCUGCUUCUAGAGAAGUUCACGUUUGUUCAGCAGCAUUGGAAAAUGCACACGACAUUUAUUUCCUGCUCUAACAGCCUUCUUGGAAGUUUCAGAAAUAGUCUAUUAUCCAUCCAAGGUGGAGGAGAAAUAACAGUGGCAUUAACCUCGCUGCAGUGUGAGCUAACCUUUUUAAAUGGACGUCAUUCAAAAAGGCAGCACUAAAAGCUGAGCCUCCUCCCGAAGAGAACCGGGGCCUUGAAGAGCAAGGAGGACGGGGCCUCGAGGCGCUCUGCACGGUGCCCUUGGCCGGCUGGGGUUGUGGACGCGAGAGAGCACUGCGGACGCAGGCAGCCGGCGUGGCCGAGAGCUCACGGGCAGUCUGUGACGUGCGGGGGAGCCAGGGCUCCUCAGGGAAUCGGUGGCAGGUCCCCACUGAGGCUCCGCAGAGAAGCUGGAGGUGCCCGUCUUCCCCGACAGUGUGAGCUGCCUUUCAGGCCCCCACAGUGCUGCCUUCUCCUCUAGGCAGGAGCUCCUCACCCCACUUCCUGACACGGAGAGCAGGAGCCUGGUGAAAUGGCUUAUUGGGGAGGGGCAGUUUGUCUUUCCAACAGACACUAAAUCAGACCCUACGCUGAAACCUGAGUGCACACCCACAUUCCCCGGGAGCUUGCUGAACGUGCAGACUGCAGAAGCUCGUCUCUAGACACUUUGAUCUGAUGUAGAAGAGCAGUUUUCCCAGAGACAGGCAGGGGCAGGCCUAGGCAAUAAGACCUCCUGGAGCCGUUUCUUCUGUCCCAUGAUGGCAAACGUAGUGUACGGGACAGGUUGGCUCACGAGCUGCUUUGUUAGCUGUGCGGGACCUCCGGGAACAGUGACGUCCAAAGAGGUUAGUUCAUGAGAAAUUUGGAUGCUGCUCUACUCUGUCCCAAACCAUGUGUCUAGGUUUUGAGGAUGCUGAAAGUUCUCAGGGCAUUCCUAACGCAUGGUGUUGCGUGCGGGAUUAAAUACGAUGGUUGACAUGGAAGCUCUUUGAAAUAGAAACACUGUACAAAGGAGUCGUGGUUGGUAUAUUAUGCAAGCUCCUGCCAGAUCUGCCUUAUUGAAGCAGUGCUUUCAACCUCACAAGGACCACAAUAGUGCUGAGUGUUCCUCAGGCCAGGACGCUGAGGAUGCCGCCCACGUGUGUUUGCAACGGUCCUCACUGCCGCACCAAGGAGGGACAGGACACGCGUGCACAGUGAUGGCGGGCGGCGGGCCCAAAUCCUGCACCUCUGCAUUUAAGCACCGUGUACUGUGCUGCCUUUUGCUCGUCCCUUGUAAUACAUUCAUUCCUGCUACAGGUGGGAUGCAUUUGCAGAGAUGCUGUAGUUCAGCCUCAUCCCAUCGUAGACACGGGCCCUGCACCAUGCCCUGCACACAGCGACUGCCCCUCCUCGGCACCCCUUCUGCUCCGACUGGGACAGUCUCCCUCCCGCGGCACAGUCCUGGGGAGGCUGCCACAACAAGACUGAGGCUGCCCGGGCCGCAGGAACCUGCUUCCCUCCACCCCUUCGUUCAGUUCCUAUAAAUGAAAGCGUGGAAACGCUCUGGAGACUUUUGGCUUUUGCCGUUGCCUGCACUGCUGCUUUCCAACGCAGAGAGGAUCUGAGCAGAGAAAAUGCCUCAGUAAAAGAAAAGAUAAAUUAAUCGACUGUCAAAAUCCCUGUCAAG